UGAGAGGGUUUGUUACUAGGUGAAAGCAUUGUAAUUUCCUGAAAGUAAUCCGACUAGGAUGAACAUAAAUGAAGACGUAGCGCACAGAUAAAGUAACACACAAACUGAUAAUGCUGGCAGAGCAGCAGAGAUACACAGAAAGCUCAUUUGAGGUGGUGAGUUCCCUUGAUCUUACUGUGCUAUCCCCUAGAGCCUGUGUUCCACUGAGAGAUACACAGAAAGCUCAUUUGAGGUGGUGAGUUCCCUUGAUCUUACUGUGCUAUCCCCUAGAGCCUGUGUUCCACUGAGAGAUACACAGAAAGCUCAUUUGAGGUGGUG
rnacentral:lncRNA from 1 species